rnacentral:pre_miRNA from 10 species
UGUCAAGUGCGUGUCGGAGGGUUAUUUCAUGCCGGUCUAGCAUUGCGCUGUCAUGGAGUUGCUCUCUCAUUGGCGCUAUGGCU